AUGGCACCUUUGGAGUUAGCCGAGCUUAAGAAACAGCUUGAUGAGUCCUUGCAAAAGGGUUUCAUCCUUCCCAGUUCUUCUCCUUGGGCUUGUCCUGUCCUCUUCGUCAAGAAGGAUGGUACGGAUCGGAUGGUUGUAGAUUAUCGUCCCGUUAAUUUGGUCACGAUAAAGAACAAGUAUCCGCUCCCCAGGAUCAACGACCUGUAUGAUCAGCUCGCUGGAUCCUCAGUCUUUUCCAAGAUGGAUUUGAGGUUAGGCUACCACCAAAUCAAAAUCAGAAACGGGGACAUCCCCAAAACGGCUUUUGUCACUCGUUAUGGUCAAUAUGAGUACACCGUGAUGUCUUUCGGCCUAACCAAUGCUCCAGCUACUUUCUCCCGCUUGAUGAACUCGAUCUUUAUGGAGUACUUAGAUAAGUUCGUCGUGGUUUAUCUCGAUGAUAUUCUUAUUUACUCGAAGAACGAUGAAGAGCAUGCCGAACAUCUUAGGCUUGUGUUAGAAAAACUCAGAGAGCACCGCCUUUAUGCCAAGUUCUCUAAGUGUGAAUUUUGGUUGCCAGAAGUGACCUAUCUGGGCCACGUGAUCUCUGGUAAGGGCAUUGCUAUCAAUCCCGAGAGAGUCAAAGCCGUUCUCAAUUGGACUCCACCCAAAACGGUCAAACAAGUUAGGAGUUUCCUUGGUCUAGACAGUUAUUGUCGCUGCUUCAGUGAAAACUUCUCCAAAGUGGCCAAACCCCUCACGGAACUUCUCAAGAAAGAUAAAAGGUUUGAGUGGACCCCAUAG
rnacentral:rRNA from 1 species